rnacentral:tRNA from 1 species
GGAAUUUAGCUCAGUGGCAGAGCGCUUGCCUAGCAAGCACAAGGCCCUGGGUUCGGUCCCCAGCUCCA